AUUUAAUCCACAAUUUAUUAAAGUUCAAAGUUGCAACAAAGUAAUCAAAUAUAGAGUGCAAGCCUUAUACACACCUCAGUUUGAAAAUGAUAUCAAUGGAGUAUUAUUAAUUGAAGUAGAUAAAUGGAAUUCCUAAUACAUUCUUUAAUGAAACAACAAAUUAUUAUAACACAUUUUUUAUUGAAAAUAAUAACGAUCUUUGGGACAAAAAAC